rnacentral:rRNA from 1 species
UACGUAGGGAGCGAGCGUUGUCCGGAUUCAUUGGGCGUAAAGAGCUCGUAGGCGGCUUGGUAAGUCGGAUGUGAAACCUCCAGGCUCAACCUGGAGUCGCCAUCCGAUACUGCUAUGGCUAGAGUCCGGUAGGGGCCCACGGAAUUCCUGGUGUAGCGGUGAAAUGCGCAGAUAUCAGGAGGAACACCGUGGCGAAGGCGGGUCUCUGGGCAGUAACUGACGCUGAGGAGCGAAAGCGUGGGGAGCGAACAGG